UCGGGAAUUUUGGGCAAUGGGCGAAAGCCUGACCCAGCAACGCCGCGUGAGGGACGAAGUAUUUCGGUAUGUAAACCUCGAAAGAAUGGGAAGAAUAAAUGACGGUACCAUUUAUAAGCUCCGGCUAACUACGUGCCAGCAGCCGCGGUAAUACGUAGGGAGCAAGCGUUGUUCGGAUUUACUGGGCGUAAAGGGCGCGUAGGCGGCGCGGUAAGUCACUUGUGAAAUCUCUGAGCUUAACUCAGAACGGCCAAGUGAUACUGCUGGGCUAGAGUGCGGAAGAGGGAACCGGAAUUCUUGGUGUAGCGGUGAAAUGCGUAGAUGACAAGAGGAACACCUGAGGCGAAGGCGGGUUGCUGGGCCGACACUGACGCUGAUGCGCGAAAGCCAGGGG
rnacentral:rRNA from 1 species